CUACGGGGUGCUGCAGUGGGGAAUAUUGCACAAUGGAGGAAACUCUGAUGCAGCAACGCCGCGUGGAGGAUGACACUUGUCGGAGCGUUAACUCCUUUUAUAUAGGAAGAAGGUGACGGUACUAUAUGAAUAAGCGCCGGCUAACUCCGUGCCAGCAGCCGCGGUAAUACGGAGGGCGCAAGCGUUACUCGGAAUCACUGGGCAUAAAGAGCGUGUAGGCGGAUUAAAAAGUCAGAAGUGAAAUCCUAUAGCUUAACUAUAGAACUGCUUCUGAAACUCUUAAUCUAGAAUAUGGGAGAGGUAGAUGGAAUUUCUGGUGUAGGGGUAAAAUCCGUAGAGAUCAGAAGGAAUACCGAUUGCGAAGGCGAUCUACUAGAACAUUAUUGUCGCUGAGACGCGAAAGCGUGGGGAGCAAACAGGAUUAGAUACCCCCGUAGUC
rnacentral:rRNA from 1 species